rnacentral:rRNA from 1 species
UGCAAGUCGAGCGAACAGAUAAGGAGCUUGCUCCUUUGACGUUAGCGGCGGACGGGUGAGUAACACGUGGAUAACCUACCUAUAAGACUGGGAUAACUUCGGGAAACCGGAGCUAAUACCGGAUAACAUAUUGAACCGCAUGGUUCAAUAGUGAAAGGCGGCUUUGCUGUCACUUAUAGAUGGAUCCGCGCCGUAUUAGCUAGUUGGUAAGGUAACGGCUUACCAAGGCAACGAUACGUAGCCGACCUGAGAGGGUGAUCGGCCACACUGGAACUGAGACACGGUCCAGACUCCUACGGGAGGCAGCAGUAGGGAAUCUUCCGCAAUGGGCGAAAGCCUGACGGAGCAACGCCGCGUGAGUGAUGAAGGUCUUCGGAUCGUAAAACUCUGUUAUCAGGGAAGAACAAAUGUGUAAGUAACUGUGCACAUCUUGACGGUACCUGAUCAGAAAGCCACGGCUAACUACGUGCCAGCAGCCGCGGUAAUACGUAGGUGGCAAGCGUUAUCCGGAAUUAUUGGGCGUAAAGCGCGCGUAGGCGGUUUUUUAAGUCUGAUGUGAAAGCCCACGGCUCAACCGUGGAGGGUCAUUGGAAACUGGAAAACUUGAGUGCAGAAGAGGAAAGUGGAAUUCCAUGUGUAGCGGUGAAAUGCGCAGAGAUAUGGAGGAACACCAGUGGCGAAGGCGACUUUCUGGUCUGUAACUGACGCUGAUGUGCGAAAGCGU